UUUAGUAUAAAAAUAAAAAAAUAUUAAAUAACUUAAUAGAGGUAAUAUAUUCUUAGAUUAAAAGUAAAUAGAUAGUCAAUAUCACUCACAAGUCAUAACAUAUAAAGCAAAAAAUCAAAAACUUCACUAGUUACUACAAGCAAAAAAGAAGUGUCACUUAGUAAUAAAACAACAAAUUUACUAAGUAAGAAAAAUAAAGACUAUUAAGAUUUAAGAGCAGCAACCAGAGCAGUCACACUAUUGAAAUAAUAAAAAAAAAACAGAGCAGCAAGCAUACACACAUCACUGAUCACAGUCACUGUACAGAAAUAAAAAAGAAACAGAGCAGCAAAAGAAUUGGAAAAAACAGAGCAGUAAUAUUAAUUGAAAAAAAAAACAGGUCAGUAAUAGAGAUUGAAAAACAGAGCAGCAAACAGAAAUUGGAAAAAAAAAUGCAGCAAUAAAAAUAUAGAAAACACCCAGCAGCAACCAAAAACAAAAAAACAGUAGCAGAUCAGUCGCAGAGAAGAAGAGAAGAAGAAGAAGAGGAGAACUUACAGCAGUGGCAACCUGGCAGCAACCAAAAAUAGAAAAAAAGUCGCAGAGCAGUCACAAAGAAGAAGAGAAGAAGAGAAGACGAGAAGAAGAAGAGAACUUACAGAAGCAGAGAAGAAGAAGAAAAGAAGAAGAGCAGUUGCAGCUUCUUAGUCUUGCAGCAAUCCAAAAAAGAAUUUUGAAGUCGCGAAAGAGGUAUAUUAAGUCGCAUAAGG
rnacentral:lncRNA from 1 species